AAGUUCUCUCUCCUCUCACCAGCGGCCUCGAUCUGGGAUCGACAGGGACGCCGCCGCCGCCGCCGCGGAUCCCACAGCGCCACCUCGCCACCGCUGGUCGCCAUGGCGCGGUGUCACCCCGCCGCCACCUCAGCCAAGCACCGCGCCGCCCCUCCAAACCCUAGCCCGCCCCCUCCGCCCGUCGACGGAUCGCUUCCACUCCUCCACGCGGCGAGCCGCGGCGACCUCCGCCUCUUCAAGAGGCUGGUGAGAGAUCUGAAUCAGGGCAGAGGCCGUCCCAGGGAGGUCGUGGAGGCGGCCAAGGACCAAGGUCUCGUGGCGCUGCACUUCGCUGCCGGGAAGGGAAGGCCACGGGUGUGCGGGUACCUGGUCGAGGAGCUAGGGGUUGAUGUGGACGCCGUCGACGAUGGAGAAUUGGGCUAUAGGAAACUAUAUGUUGACCAGGAAUUUACAACCGUCAUGCUAUGUGGAUCUCGGCGGCGGCGGCGGCGGCUCCUCCCUCUACCCGCCCGCCGCGCUACCACCUCAUCUCGCGCUCCUGACAUGCCGAGGGGGCGAGAGGAGUAAGAAAGCAGGGACGAGUGCGCAGAGGAGAAAGAUGCUUGCCGCGAAGCUACCAAGCGGGAAGACAGAUGAGGAGCGACACUUGCGGAGGCGGCCGAGAUCGGGUACUACAUCUUAGAUCUUCACCGUCGUCUAGGUUAGGCCUCCUCAGAUGCCCUGAUCCUCCAUCAUCAGAUGAAAAAGAUCCAGUUCUUUGGCGACAUGCAAAGCUGCCGGUGGUUGUUUGAUCAAUUGUGUGAGGUAUCUCACAUGGCACCUGAAUGCGUAUUAAUGGUGUCAAUCUGUAUCUACAUGUCGUGUGGUUCAAAAGCCAAAAAGGAGCAGCAGGAUGGCCGGUCCAAGCUUGAGCAGAUUCUGUGUUGGGGUUCGAUGCUGAAAUUCAUUAGAUUUCAGUUCUGUAUAGUUUCAGGUGACUGAAUCCCGCCGAGUAUUAUUAGGCGGAGGAAGGAACAGAAACAGGGCACGCCACUCUGCAUUUUUGGUCUCGCCAAAACGACUUCAGUAUCAGCCAGGGGGCUGUGCAUCACUGGGAAUUUUCCAUUUGGAAGGUCCAAUUCCUAACCAUGAUGCUAUAUGAACCGCAACCUGGAACAGUGAAUCCUGAUCGCGAAUGUGCCCGCGGCGCAAGAGAGGAGGGGGCAUCAGCUUGAGUACAGCCAAGUGGCGGGACAGACAGGCGCGAUGGCAAUGGCAAUGGAAUUGGCCGACAAAUUGCUACUGGUGCUCCAGAGUUACUCGCUGCCAGUUUGGGCCAUGAUAAUCUCGGGGCUCUUCGUCGCCGUAUCACUCUCGCUGUCCAUCUACUUGCUCUUGAACCACCUCUCGGCCUACAAGAACCCAGAGGAGCAGAAGUUCCUCGUCGGCGUCGUUCUGAUGGUGCCGAUAUACGCAAUCGAGUCGGUAAGGUGGCUAUGCCAUGUCUUGUUCAAGUGCGCGGUCACAAUGUUGUUGGCUAGGAGAGGUCGAUCCAGCCGUUAACUCUUGGCGUGGACCAGUAGGUUCAAUUUCAGCUUUUAUGUAAUCUUUGUGUUGAUUUCUUUUGAAUUGCAAAAUCAUUUGCUGAUACUUUUCUCCCCUUUCAGUCAUAAAAUGUAAGGUGACCUUCCACAUUUAGUCCGAUAUUUUGUUCAUACCUUGAUUUUACUUUCGAACCGCCUUUUCUUUUAAGAUUAUCAAAUGAUAUCUUUAACUAUUUUAUAAGGUACAGUUUCAAAUUUAGUCUGAGAUUUUUUUUAUCGUACUUUGAGUUUAGUUAUGUGUUAUAAUUGAUAUAGUUCUUAGCUAAUUUGACAAACAAUGAUGGCUCCAAUGCCUAUGUCGCUUCUUUGCUACAAAAUGUAAAAUGUGAUUUAUCUUUUGCCGAUCUUCGUCAAAGUGUUUUUGUUUAUACAUUGCAGGACCCCAUAAGCCAAUAGUAUUAGGUUUAGAUGGCUUUCCAGGGAUUGAAGUGGUUGGAGCUGCAGGCCGAACUCAAAUUAUUUGUUUUUUCAGUACCAUUUGUUAAUUCAAUUGCAAACAUUGUGCUAAUAGGUAAAGCUUCUGUUAUUUACACCUUUUUUAUUUAACAAAAUUGAAUGUACAAUUAGGCGUUUAAGUAAGUUUUCUUUGUGUAGAUACACCAUCUAGCCUUACUCACGCCCAACUCUUUUUAUCAUUCACUUCCAACUAUAUUUUUCACUUUGUGUAGAUAAAGACAUGUCCCAAUCUUCUUGGUCUACUCACGUAUGGAGGCGAUCUGAAUUAAAGGAAGAACUCUAUGUUGUCUGCUUGAAUCAAUUGUUCAUCUCUACAUUAACGAAUAGGAUCUUCACUAAGAUAUAUCGAGCAGAGCUCAUCACAACAUCCUGUGACGUUCUCAACCAUGUUAUCCUUCACGAUAAACAUAUUUUGAGGGAGACAAGAGAGCAUCCAAGCACGACCAUGUUGAACUUGAUGUCUUGCUGCAGUACAAGCGGCUGUUGUCCCUUGAUCCAGGUAUGAUUUCUGAAGAUUAUUUCACUAAUUAGCUAUACCCAGUGACCAGUGUAGAUCUGGCACGUCCACUUCUAAAUGAACAAGAUAUUUCAAGGUGAUGCAUCGUGUCGUGGUCGUUGUCUGUGCUAUCCGUCUUCCUCAUUUGUGCUAAUUUGAUUACUCUUUUUUGAAGGCAGUGCAUCGUCGGGUUUCUCAUAACAUGUUGGUAGAUUUUAUUUAUUGUCUUCUUAAGAAAUAGAUCGACCCAAAACAUUGUUCAUAUUUACAGGUUGAUUAUUUUCGUAGAUUUAUAAUCCAAAUACAUGACCCACUACAAGAUUACGAGCUUGGAGUCGUCCAUUUUGUUUAGGAGGGCAGAUUUGGUACUAAACACUUAAUUGGCGUUGAUAGACUUGUACUGUGAAAAAUAAUGGUAAUAUGAACAGACUGAUAGUGGUACACAUAGGGUGACAAGGAGUUAUUAUUUUCAUUCCUAUAUGCAACUUUUCUGGCACUAACCAAUAGCAUUGUGCUGCCAGAACACCGUAUGCUUAGUACUGAUUAAAUUUUAUUAUCAGCAAGUCAUAUGCCUUGGUUUGGUGGUGCACACCGCAAGAGCUCCUUAAAUUUAGGGACCCAUCAAGCCACAGUUUCAUGGUUCUCAAGAACAUUUAUCUCGAGAAAAUUCCAAAUAUUUUGGUACCAAAUUUGUCUUUUCGUCAUCCCAUUUUUCUGAUGUAAGUUGGAUGACCUUCAUUCAGUUAGAAGUAUAAGAACCGCAACAGCUGCUGAAGGGUUUGAUUAAGUUAGAAAAAAACUUCCACAAAAUCUUGUCACCAAUAAAAUUUACCUAUAAAGGAAUCAUUUUAGAAAAUAGAUACAAGAUCCUUAUCAGUUUGAGAUGUUCAACUCCCAACUUGUCUUCUUUGUUCUGUUCUGUGCAAGUGUAUCUUGUUGAUUAUGUGGAUGGUGUACUUGUACAUACUAAAAUUGCGGGCAAAACAAAGUGAUGGAUGGUCUACAAGAUGAUAUUAAUGAAUUAAUCUUUAGGGUAAAAUAAUCUAACCAACAUGCAUCUGUUUAGUUUGAAAUAAUAUUGCCUUCAAAAUGUAUGAAUGCAGUCUUCGCAUCUAAUGUUGUAGAAUCAAACAUUGAUGUUGCCUUACUAAGCAUGUGUGUAAAUUCUCUUGGGGAGAAAAAAUAUUCACUUGCAAUUUGCAACAUUG